AUUUAAAGACAACAUAGGAGGUGUGAAAGCUGAGUCAGAGACAGCGUAUUUGCCUAAUCUAACAGAGAAUCUAGAUUUGAAUCCAGAUCUAGGUGACUUCAAAACCAAUACUGUUGGGGCGCCUGGGUGGCUCAGUGGGUUAAAGCCUCUGCCUUCAGCUC